rnacentral:rRNA from 1 species
CAGUCGCCACGGUAAUACGAAGGGUGCUAGCGUUGCUCGGAAUUACUGGGCGUAAAGGGAGCGUAGGCGGGUCAUUUAGUCAGAGGUGAAAUCCCGGGGCUCAACCUCGGAACUGCCUUUGAUACUGGCGACCUUGAGUAUGGGAGAGGUAAGUGGAACUCCGAGUGUAGAGGUGAAAUUCGUAGAUAUUCGGAAGAACACCAGUGGCGAAGGCGACUUACUGGCCCAUUACUGACGCUGAGGCUCGAAAGCGUGGGGAGCAAACAGGAUUAGAUACCCCCGUAGUCCCUGUCUCUUAUAC